rnacentral:rRNA from 1 species
UAGGGAAUCUUCGGCAAUGGACGAAAGUCUGACCGAGCAACGCCGCGUGAGUGAAGAAGGUUUUCGGACCGUAAAACUCUGUUGGUAGAGAAGAACGUUGGUGAGAGUGGAAAGCUCAUCAAGUGACGGUAACUACCCAGAAAGGGACGGCUAACUACGUGACAG